GACGGGGGCAAGAGCAUGAAGGACUGCUAAUCCUCCACCCUGUAGUUCAAUCCCACAGACCCU
rnacentral:tRNA from 1 species